rnacentral:rRNA from 1 species
UACGAAGGGGGCUAGCGUUGUUCGGAAUUACUGGGCGUAAAGCGCACGUAGGCGGACUGUUAAGUCAGGGGUGAAAUCCUGGAGCUCAACUCCAGAACUGCCUUUGAUACUGAUGGUCUCGAGUCCGGAAGAGGUGAGUGGAAUUCCGAGUGUAGAGGUGAAAUUCGUAGAUAUUCGGAGGAACACCAGUGGCGAAGGCGGCUCACUGGUCCGGUACUGACGCUGAGGUGCGAAAGCCAGGGGAGCAAACGGG